CAAAUCUCUCUUCUCUCUUUCUCUCAUCCGCUGCGAUUCCUCAGUCUCUCUCUCCCUCCUUCUUCUCUUCCUCCCUUCAACUCUCCUUCCUCUCUUCCUCCCUUCAACUCUUCUUCCUCCCUUCAGACUAUAUGGGCAGAUGCAUCUUGACCCUCACUAGGGUCAUCUUAGAAGGGGAAUACCAAGACUCGAUACCGCUAGAUGGAGCCAAAUUUGGGAAAUUGAACGUGCAUCUUAAGUGGAAUGCCCAACCAAUUUACCGUGAGUCUUGAUUGAUCUCUGCUUUUCAAAUACAAGCCAAAUAGUUUUUUACUCUAGAUUCAUAUGGAGGUCGCACCAGACAUCCAUCUUUGUUCCUCCGGAUUUCUUUAACAACAGGUGCUCGUGGCCGGAUGUUACAAUCGGCGAGGCGUUGGUUGGUUGGUGGCGAGGGUUUGUGCUAGUAGGGAUGCUCGGCGGCGGGUGCUGCAGUAGAAGCCUAGGUUUUCUUUGGUUGUAUUUUAUGGCUUGGGCCUUUACUGUUUAUUGGAACUAUUGGGCUAGUAUGGCAGAGUCUUUUGGGUUAGUUUACUAA